CAGAAUAAUUUCAUGGGCGACGGCUUUGGACCAAGAGCUAAGCAGAAAAUAGCAAAGGCCCGUUGGCAGAGGUGCCUAUAGGACGUGGAAAGGAGAAGAAAGCUAAUCAAAAUAGCUUUGUCAGCAUUUGGAAAGCGGAAUCUUGUAUCCUCAUCGGCCAGAUAAACAUUCGUCACACUGUGGGAUUUCAACGCAGACAGUUUGACGUCGAUUACGUUGAAGAUCUCCAGAUCCUGUCUAAAAUAGGAUCAAACUCUUCCUCCAGAUAUGAUGGCAAUGUCAGUUUGCUGACUGCUGCAGCCGUUGUCAUUGUCAUCGUUGUAUGUUUGCUGUGGGGGAGGAACAGAAAGAAAGGCCUUCACUCCCUCAUUCCAUGCAAGUAACCUUUCAACUCCACACAGUCUUGAAGCAACAACAAGCAGGACUUUAGUGCACCGGCAGAGAGGACGGAGAAACAGACGAGGAGGAAAGGGCAGGAGUUCCUAGAGAGGCUGUGUCUCUGGAAUGCCUGGCUCAGGAUGCAGCCGCUGAGCAGUACACUCCUUUCAGGAGCCAAGGGGAGGCGUGAUUGGCUACUAGCCUCUACUGGGUGGAGCUGUAGGAGGGAUAUUACCUAUUCAUUGGCACUUUCUGCGAGGCCCCUCCCACCUCACUGACGCUCUGCCCUUGGCCCCUGUUAUCUGCCUGUGUUUCUGGGAAUGCUGUUGUUGCAUCAGGGGGGCAGGGUUGGAGAUGGCCGAACUCAGGGGCUGAGGUCAGGGUCAAAAUUCAAGGGUCAACACAACUCAGAAGCUGCAGGGGUGGAUGUGGAUGGGCCUGUAGCCAAGCUGCAGGCACC